UAAGACGGUUGUAAGCGAUUCGUUUUUUUUUCAUAAAUUUAGAUCAAUAUAAGCUGAAACUAAAUAAAAAUACUCCCGGUAAUCCAAUUUCUGUUUUAAAAAAUACUUCUUCUCUAUGUUUUGUAGCAAUAACAUUUUCAUUUUUUUUUUCGACAUUUUAAGUACGAGUUUAUUUUAAGAAGAAAAAGUUAACUGUCAUAAUGUACUUUAACUGAUUUAGU